UUCCGGUUGAUCCCGCCGGACCUGACUGCUAUCGGAUUGAUACUAAGCCAUGCGAGUCAUUGUAGUAAUACAAGGCAGACGGCUCAGUAACGCGUAGUCAACCUACCCUAUGGACGUGGAUAACCUCGGGAAACUGAGAAUAAUACACGAUAGAACAUUAUGCCUGGAAUGGUUUAUGUUCCAAAUGAUUUAUCGCCGUAGGAUGGGACUGCGGCCUAUCAGUUUGUUGGUGAGGUAAUGGCCCACCAAGACUAUUACAGGUACGGGCUCUGAGAGGAGUGGCCCGGAGAUGGGUACUGAGACACGGACCCAGGCCCUAUGGGGCGCAGCAGGCGAGAAAACUUUGCAAUGUGCGAAAGCACGACAAGGUUAAUCCGAGUGGUUUCUGCUAGAGGAACCUUUUGACAGUCCUAGAAACACUGUUGAAUAAGGGGUGGGCAAGUUCUGGUGUCAGCCGCCGCGGUAAAACCAGCACCUCAAGUUGUCAGGAUGAUUAUUGGGCCUAAGGCAUCCGUAGCCGGCUCUGUUAGUUUUCGGUUAAAUCUGUACGCUUAACGUACAGGCUGCCGGGAAUACUGCAGAGCUAGGGAGUGGGAGAGGUAGACGGUACUCGGUAGGAAGGGGUAAAAUCCUUUGAUCUAUUGAUGACCACCUGUGGCGAAGGCGGUCUACCAGAACACGUCCGACGGUGAGGGAUGAAAGCUGGGGGAGCAAACCGGAUUAGAUACCCGGGUAGUCCCAGCUGUAAACUAUGCAAACUCAGUGAUGCAUUGGCUUGUGGCCAAUGCAGUGCUGCAGGGAAGCCGUUAAGUUUGCCGCCUGGGAAGUACGUACGCAAGUAUGAAACUUAAAGGAAUUGGCGGGGCAGCAC
rnacentral:rRNA from 1 species